GUUACGUGAAGGGCCAACCCUCCUCCCAUGGCUCUUUGCAAUGGACAGCAACAAUCCUCCUCCCAGUUGCUGUUCUACUCUUUCAGAAGAGCCUGCCGCACCUCCUCCCGCGGCAGGCUUUUUUG
rnacentral:sRNA from 1 species